UUGCGCCCGGCAGGUCUUACACGGCCAGCUCCUGCUGAACUCCCCCAGGGUCGGAAGACAGCAAGGGUAAGCGGUUGUAGCGGUGCGAUGUAAUCAGCCUGCCAUUUU
rfam:Flavihumibacter solisilvae strain 3-3 contig19, whole genome shotgun sequence.